AAAAGGAAAAGAAAUGAUGCCGAGGAUUCUGGCACCUCUAAGGCUGAAGAAGUUGUUCCUUCUCAUCCGAAGGCAGCUUAUGAUCCUUAUAUUGAAUCCCUCGUCAGCUCUGAUGACGAGGAAGAAGUACCAACUACUGACGUGGCUCCUCGGACAAGCACGUCACGUACUGUACUUGCCUCAGACACGCUAGUUGAAGGAGAAGAAACCUCGCCUCCUCAACAAAACGUCGUCACCACUACUCCACCAUCAAGCCCCCUUGCUCCUUCACCAAAAAGGACAAGGGUUGAAAAGAUUGUUGAACCUGCCCCUCAGUUGGGCAGUUCGUCGACUCUGCUCUUGGAUGAUCCUAUGAUCAAAGAUCUUCUCCGCAUCGGCUCCCAAUUUAUUGGGUACCGUGAAUAUGCUAACAGAGCCGAAGAGAAACUUGCAGAGGCCAACAAACGUGCCGACGCACUUGCUCAAAAACUUGAGCAAAGUGAAGCGGCUCGCAAGAAAACCGA